AUCGCGUAUGCCUGGGCAUACUAUAUAUCCGAAUAUAUGUACAUAUAUGUGAAUAAUAAUCGGUGUGAACGUGAGAAUUGUGCGGCCCCUGCGACGCCGCUGUCGAUGCCGCCGAGUGUCAAUUAUGUGGAAAUAUAUUUACAAAAAUAUAUACAGAUAUAUUUCGUAUACAUGUACGUACGUGUGUGCUAGUGUGUGUGUGUGUGUGUGUGUGUGAUUCCUCCUGGCACUGAAUGUCACUAAAUGCGCCCGCCCGCCCCCCACAUAGGCCCGCUUCUUAGUCGCAUGUGACAGAAAGAGAGAGAGAGAGAGAGAAAGAGUGCAAGAGAGGGAGUGUACACUGUGUCUGUGUGUGUGUGGUUGUGGUGCGUGUAGAUCAGUCGCGCCCCCUCCCUUACCCCACUCAACAAACAAUUUUCAUUCAUUCAAUCGUUGCCCACCGCCCCCCGCCCCCUGCGCUCGAUCCAAGCGGCAAUUUUGCUUUGGCUCUUCUCCGAUCCGAUCCGCUCUGCGCUGCGCUGCGCUGCUCUGUCCUGUCCCCAAAGCCACGCACAAACAAAACGACAACAGAUAAAGAGGAGGCAGAGAGAGAGAGAGAGAGAGAACGAAAGAGCCGAAGAAGAACAGUGGGUUGCAUGGAUAGUGCCCUGGCCACGCCCCCCUAUGACGCCUAUUAGGCGUUAUCAGCGCACACAUAAAGACCUGACCAAAAUCCACACAAAAUGGCGAUGAACCCGAGUGCCAGAGAAAUACCGCAGGCCUGAAUCUGAAUCUAACUGCCGUUGGAUCUCGGCAACCAAGCAACACAUCCAUCGACCACAUCGACCACAUCGACCCGGGUCCGCCCCGGAGGGAGGAGGAGCGAUAAGCGAUAAUCGCGAAAAUUUUGGAGCCCAAAGCUCGCAUCGAACCCGAAACAAGCGGCUAAGAUGUGUUCCCGCAACAUAAAGAUCUCGGUGGUGCUGUUUCUCGUCUUGAUACCAAUCUUCACAGCCUUGCCACACAACCACAAUCUGUCGAAGCGCAGCAACUUCUUCGAUCUGGAGUGCAAGGGGAUCUUCAACAAGACCAUGUUCUUUCGCCUGGAUCGCAUCUGCGAGGACUGCUAUCAGCUGUUCCGCGAGACGAGUAUACAUCGGUUAUGCAAGAAAGACUGCUUUGAUUCAAAAUGGUUUGGCGAGUGCCUGAAAGUGCUGCUAAUACCAGAAGAAGAGGUAUCGAACUUGCAACACUUUCUGAGGGUUGUGAACGGUUCGCCCAUAUCCUUCAACAACACGCCGGGCCAAACAUAACUCUAAGAUCUUGAACCCCCCCCCCCGCACAGAGAUCAAGAGUCCGAGCAAAAAAAACAAACAAAUUUAAUUAUUUAAACGCCCAAAUUUAAUUCGUACUUAUUUAUUACUGUAGGCCUUACAGUUUAUACUAUAUGUGUUUUUUUAAAAACGAAUUACUUUUAUUAAUUUAUUGAGAACGUUAUGCGUUUGUUGUAAGUAACAUAAAUCGUAGGGAAACCACCGCAUGGAGAUGGAGAGAUGUAGAGAUGUAGAGAAAGAUACGAUAUAGUGGGAGGAACAGUGGGUGGGUGGAAGAGAUUCUACCCCCUGGAAUCGAAGUAUUUAUUUAUAAGUAUUCCUAGCUUGUUUUAUUAUUAUUAUUAUUAUCAUAAUUAUUAUUAUGUUAUGUAUAUACAAUAAACAAAAGAAAUCCAUUGUUUUAAAUCCAUGUAGAGUAGAAUACAGCAUUUAAUUUUAAAUUUUACACACGAUAAAUGCGCGGAAACCCCCACCUCCCCCCGAGAGUUAAAGAAAAGGCACACACACCUAACACACGAGACCGAAAGUAUUUUGCAAAUGUAUUACAAUUAAUUUUGUAACGAUUAAGCCCCUAAUUAGCGUAAAUCUGAGAAGAGAGUGGAAAUAUGCAUAUAAAAAACUAUAUAUGGGUAUCUAUGUAUAUCCGCAUAUAUCCAACGUAUCCACUUACCCGCACCCAUACUAAACUAAACUACUAAACUAAACGCUUAGUCUUAACGCUAAAACGCAAUUUGUGCAAAACACAAACAAAAAACCUUUGGUAAAAGCACACAAAAAAAAAGAAGAAGGAAUACAUUACAAAUGUAGAAAAAAGGACCAUCAUUCGCUGGCUAUUUGAGAGUGAAGGAGGGAGAGGAGAAGGAGAGCAUCAAAAUUGUGAUAAAUGAGAAUUAGAAAUGCGAAGCAGACCAGCCAGAAAUGAAAGAAUCCCAGAACCUCACAACCAGAACCAGAACCAGAAAGAGAGCGAGCGGAACAGAGAUUGAGAAAGAAACCAGAGAAUAGCCGGAGACGGCGACCGUUAACCGAUCGCUAACCGUUUUUGUUUUGGCAAGAAUGCUUCGGAUCGCCCUUCUUCAAUGCCUGCAUAGAGGCUCUUCAGCUGCACGAGGAAAUGGACAAGUAUAACGAAUGGCGC